GUGCUCACUUUAGCAGUAUAUAAAUACUAAAUACAAUACAGAAAAGAUUACAGUACAGAAAAGAUUAGCAUGGCCCCUGCAUAAAGAUGACAGGCAAAUUUGUGAAGCAUUCUAUAUUAAA
rnacentral:snRNA from 1 species